rnacentral:lncRNA from 1 species
AUGAUUAUGGAUUGUUGGAUGAGAUGGCAAAGUAUUUGGAAGAAUUGUGAGUCGAUAAUGAUGAGGAUCUGGUUAGGUAUAACGCCUCAAAUUUAUAUAUAUCGAAGUGUUUAACAUAUGAAAGUGGGAUUAUUUAAUUUAAAGGGUUUUUGGUAAAUGGAUAUAUUAGGCCCAAAAUGGAAGGUCCAUGAGGGAUUAUGGUCCCUAAAUCUUACUAUAUAUAGAAAAGAUUGAAACCCCAAUCCACCACUUUAAUCAUCUUCUUCAUCAUGCAAGAGAGAGAAAGCUAGUGGAGGUUUUAAAGAGAGAAAAUGAAACAUAAGGAAAAUCAAAAGUUGAGAAUCAAGGAUUUGAAGCAUGUAAUUGGUUUAAAAACAUUCAAGGAUCAUCAUAGCAUCAUAGUGACUAAAAAUCAAGGUAACAAUCAAUCCUAAAUGUACAAUUUAACAGGUUUUGAGGUUUUUGGGAAAUAUUUGGGUUUUUGCAUAAAGAUUACAUGUUUAUGUAUUUUUUGAAUCUAAAAAGCUUGGAUUUUGCUUAAUGGAAGUUAAACAAAUGAUUUGGAUGAAAAGAUUGUUGUGAAUUCAGAUACAAAUCAGGGUUGCAAUUUAGAAGCUUCUCGUUUUGGCGACUUAGUUCGUAUGAUAGAAACUUUAACAAAGUUGUUAGAGUCUUUAAUAAAGUUGUUAGAGACUUUAAUAAAGUUGCCAAGGAAGUCCUUACCCGAGUUAGGCAAUGUUGCUAGCGACUUUGUCCUCUAGGAAAUUGUAAGGUGACGAGUUCCGCGUAUUAAAUUUUAUACAGAUCGAAUGACGUUUGUUUGAGCGUAAGCAUAACAGUACCGAGUUAUUAAUCGUAGAUAGUUGAGUUUCUAGACCCCUUUUUAGUUACUUUUUUGGGGAAGUGUGCAUAAUCACGAAGUUUUCAUUAUAAAGUGACGAAGUUUAUCUUAAAACGUGAUAGAAAAUCAAAUGCUUUCGCUAACAGUAAAGUGUGCAGUUUUAACGUGAUAGAACGUUAAAGUAACCGUAUGUAAAGAAUGAUAGUAUGUAUGUUGCACGGAUGAGCGACUACCUUUAGGGCCAUUGUGAUGGGUGGUUACCUUCUAGGCUGUGUUUUGGGCGGUUACCUUUAGGCCGUUGUGAGUGAGUGGCGGUUAACUUUGGGGAUAUUGUAGUAGUGCCGAUGUAUUUAUUGUUUUGUCGACGAUUGAUAACUACAUAGGGUAUAGUGUUAUAGUACGAUGAUUAUUGUAUAGUGUAUGUGCUUAAUUGCGUAAAAUGUUUAUUGAGUGUUAAUUAUUAAAGUUUGUAGUUGCCUGAUUUAAACUAUAACUCACUCAGCAUACUUGACUUUUAGUAUGCAUAUCAAGUUAACUGGAAUAUAAGAGGAUGGCAAGAGGCAUAGAUCCCUGCCGACUGACAUCCUAUUUUAAAGUUUGAUGUCUUAAGACAACGUUCCUAUGUUUUGUUUAAAUUGGGUUGUAUAGACUUAAAUGUCCUGCUACAUUUGAAUGAAAUGUUUUAAAUUGAACUAUGUGACAAAAAGUAAAUCAAAUUGACAAAACCCUUAGGAUUCAGGCUUUUCGAUAAGGGAACCUUUCUUCAAGAGAAUGAUACAUUGAUUAGUAUAACAAAUACAAAUAAAAAUAUUGAACCUAUUUGUCUUGUAUUAGAGAAAGAAAAUGAUGCUGAUAAUGAAUAUAGGAAGAUGCUAAAAAGAUAACGCUAAAAAAAAGAGAUACACGUGAUAACGAUAAAGAGCAAGAGGAGUUUGAAUACACAAAUAAGGAUUCAGAUAUGAAUAAUGUACUAAUUUCAUUUGAUCCCAACUAUUAGGAUGUAGUAGUAUAUAUAUAUAUACCUAAAUAACUUAAGAUGUAACACCAUUUAGCAUAAAUAACAAUUUGUGAUUGAGGUGUAGAAUAUGGGUCACAAUUUUAUUAAAAUGAUAUUAGUAAAAAUUACAAUAAUACUCUCUUUAUACAAUUGGAGAUUGUAGUACAUGUAUUGUAUACAAAUCCAAAUGA